UACGGAGGGUGCUAGCAUUAAUCGGAUUUAUUGGGCGUAAAGAGGGCGUAGGCGGAUGAGUCAGUCAGACGUGAAAUUCCGGGGCUUAACCCCGGAGCUGCGUUUGAAACUAUUUAUCUUGAGGAUAGGCGGAGAAAACGGAAUUCCACAUGUAGCGGUGAAAUGCGUAGAUAUGUGGAAGAACACCGGUGGCGAAGGCGGUUUUCUAGCUUAUUCCUGACGCUGAGGCCCGAAAGCUAGGGGAGCAAACAGG
rnacentral:rRNA from 1 species